UAGAAAUUUUUUUGGAUUUUUUUUUUUUAAGGGGGACGGAGGGUGAGCGUUUGUUUAGAAAUAGUGGGAAAGCCAAAAGAAAAAAAGCCACCCUUGUACAAAAAAAGGGUACAUAGUCUCACAGUUUCAUGUGUUACAACCACACAGAAGUUUUUACAAGAAUUUACGAGUGAUUCA